UAGGGAAUAUUGGACAAUGGGCGCAAGCCUGAUCCAGCCAUGCCGCGUGAGUGAAGAAGGCCCUCGGGUUGUAAAGCUCUUUUGUCCGGAAAGAAAAGCUUUGGGUUAAUACCCCGAAGUCCUGACGGUACCGGAAGAAUAAGCACCGGCUAACUUCGUGCCAGCAGCCGCGGUAAUACGAAGGGUGCAAGCGUUACUCGGAAUUACUGGGCGUAAAGCGUGCGUAGGUGGUUCGUUAAGUCUGAUGUGAAAGCCCUGGGCUCAACCUGGGAAUUGCAUUGGAUACUGGCGGGCUAGAGUGCGGUAGAGGGCAGUGGAAUUCCGGUGUAGCAGUGAAAUGCGUAGAGAUCGGGAGGAACAUCUGUGGCGAAGGCGACUGCCUGGACCAGCACUGACACUGAGGCACGAAAGCGUGGGGAGCAAACAGG
rnacentral:rRNA from 1 species